UUCUCCGUGAGGAUUAAAAUUGGUUCCUCCUGAUGUAAUGGCUCGGACGCUAUAUAAGCUUUGGUAUAUCCUGAUUCAUGACUUUAAUUUUGGUGUCACUCUAUCCUGGAAACAUUUUGUACAUAU